UCGCGAUCUCUUCGGAGAGAGCGGCGGACGGGUGAGUAACGCGUGCGUCACCUUUCCCUGUACACCACGGAUAACAUACCGAAAGGGUAUACUAAUACGGGGAUAACAUACGAAAGUCGCCAUGGCUUUUGUAUCAAAGCUCCGGCGGUACAGGAUGGACCCGCGUCUGAUUAGCUAGUUGGUAAGGUAAUGGCUUACCAAGGCAACGAUCAGUAGCCGACCUGAGAGGGUGAUCGGCCACACUGGAACUGAGACACGGUCCAGACUCCUACGGGAGGCAGCAGUGGGGAAUAUUGCACAAUGGGCGAAAGCCUGAUGCAGCAACGCCGCGUGAGCGAUGAAGGCCCUCGGGUCGUAAAGCUCUGUCCUCAAGGAAGAUAAUGACGGUACUUGAGGAGGAAGCCCCGGCUAACUACGUGCCAGCAGCCGCGGUAAUACGUAGGGGGCUAGCGUUAUCCGGAAUUACUGGGCGUAAAGGGUGCGUAGGUGGUUUUUUAAGUCAGAAGUGAAAAGCUACGGCUCAACCGUAGUAAGCUUUUGAAACUAGAGAACUUGAGUGCAGGAGAGGAGAGUAGAAUUCCUAGUGUAGCGGUGAAAUGCGUAGAUAUUAGGAGGAAUACCAGUAGCGAAGGCGGCUCUCUGGGCUGUAACUGACACUGAGGCACGAAAGCGUGGGGAGCAAACAGGAUUAGAUACCCCUGGUAGUCCACGCCGUAAACGAUGAGUGCUHAGGUGUCCGGGGGUUACCCCCCUCUCGGUGCCGGCCAGGUAAACGCAUUUAAGUACUCCGCCCUGGGGAAGUAACGCUCGCCAAGAGGUGAAACUCAAAGGAAAUGGACGGGGACCCCGCACAAGUAGCGGAGCAUGUGGUUUAAUUCGAAGCAACGCGAAGAACCUUACCUAAGCUUGACAUCCCACUGACCUCUCCCUAAUUCGGAGAUUUCCCUUCGGGGACAGUGGUGACAGGUGGUGCAUGGUUGUCGUCAGCUCGUGUCGUGAGAUGUUGGGUUAAGUCCCGCAACGAGCGCAACCCUUGCCUUUAGUUGCCAGCAUUAAGUUGGGCACUCUAGAGGGACUGCCGAGGAUAACUCGGAGGAAGGUGGGGAUGACGUCAAAUCAUCAUGCCCCUUAUGCUUAGGGCUACACACGUGCUACAAUGGGUGGUACAGAGGGUUGCCAAGCCGCGAGGUGGAGCUAAUCCCUUAAAGCCAUUCUCAGUUCGGAUUGUAGGCUGAAACUCGCUACAUGAAGCUGGAGUUACUAGUAAAUCGCCA
rnacentral:rRNA from 1 species